UACGAAGGGUGCAAGCGUUAAUCGGAAUUACUGGGCGUAAAGCGUGCGUAGGCGGUUUGUUAAGUCUGCUGUGAAAUCCCCGGGCUCAACCUGGGAAUGGCAGUGGAUACUGGCAAGCUAGAGUGUGUCAGAGGAUGGUGGAAUUCCCGGUGUAGCGGUGAAAUGCGUAGAGAUCGGGAGGAACAUCAGUGGCGAAGGCGGCCAUCUGGGACAACACUGACGCUGAGGCACGAAAGCGUGGGGAGCAAACCGG
rnacentral:rRNA from 1 species